AUAAUAGAAUAGCUAAUUUGCUUUCUCAAAAUAUGUAACUUUGAAAUAUUAUUUUGUAUGCGUAUACAAUUACACGUGUACUGCAAUUAAACAGAUAUGACCUGAGGCAUUCAAACUCAUUAGCUUUAUUAGAUUUUAUAUAUAUAUAAUCUAUGAGAAGUCACUCUGACUACAAAGAGCUCUAGAGAUUGUAACUGCAUGACCACCAAUGGCUAUAAGGGUCAUAACAAAGGCAUAGCAAUACUAGCAUAGAGAGCAUCGGGACAAUCAGCACAAUAUUGGCAGUAUUAGGAUAGAGAGCAUCGGGACAAUCAGCACAAUAUUGGCAGUAUUAGGAUAGAGAGUAUCAGGACAAUCGGCUAUGAUAUUGGCAGUAUUAGGAUAAAGAGUGAAAAGACAAUCAGCUAUAAUAUUAGCAGUGUUAGGAUACAGAGUAACAGAACAAUCGGCUAUGAUAUUGGCAGUGUUAGGAUAGAGAGUAUCAGAACAAUCGGCUAUGAUAUUGGCAGUGUUAGGAUAGAGAGUAUCAGAACAAUCGGCUAUGAUAUUGGCAGUGUUAGGAUAGAGAGUAUCAGAACAAUCGGCUAUGAUAUUGGCAGUGUUAGGAUAGAGAGUAUCAGAACAAUUGGCUAUGAUAUUGGCAGUGUUAGGAUAGAGAGUAUCAGAACAAUCGGCUAUGAUAUUGGCAGUAUUAGGAUAGAGCGUAUCAGAACAUUCAACUAUAGUAUUGGCAGUGUUAGUAUACAGACUAUCAGAACAAUCGGCUAUAAUAUUGGCAGUAUUUGGAUAGAGCGUAUCAGAACAAUCAGCUAUGAUAUUGGCAGUGUUAGGAUAGAGAGUAUCAGAACAAUCGACUAUAAUGUUAGCAGUGUUAGGAUAGAGAGUAUCAGAACAAUCGGCUAUGAUAUUGGCAGUGUUAGGAUAGAGAGUAUCAGAACAAUCAGCUAUGAUAUUGGCAGUGUUAUGUUAGUGAGUAGCAGUACAAUCGGCUAUGAUAUUGGCAGUGUAAGGAUAGAGAGUAUCAGAACAAUCAGCUAUGAUAUUGGCAGUGUUAGGAUAGAGAGUAUCAGAACAAUCGGCUAUGAUAUUGGCAGUGUUAGGAUAGAGAGUAUCAGAACAAUCGGCUAUAAGAUUGGCAGUAUUAGGAUAGAGCGUAUCAGAACAUUCAGCUAUAGUAUUGGCAGUGUUAGUAUACAGACUAUCAGAACAAUCGGCUAUAAUAUUGGCAGUAUUUAGAUAGAGCGUAUCAGAACAAUCGGCUAUGAUAUUGGCAGUGUUAGGAUACAGAGUAUCAG